AGCAGUAGCCGCGGUAAUACGGAGGGUGCAAGCGUUAAUCGGAAUUACUGGGCGUAAAGCGUGCGUAGGCGGUUCGUUAAGUCUGUUGUGAAAGCCCCGGGCUCAACCUGGGAAUGGCAAUGGAUACUGGCGAGCUAGAGUGUGUCAGAGGAUGGUGGAAUUCCCGGUGUAGCGGUGAAAUGCGUAGAGAUGUGGAGGAAUACCGAUGGCGAAGGCAGCCCCCUGGGCCAAUACUGACGCUCAUGCACGAAAGCGUGGGGAGCAAACAGGAUUAGAUACCCGAGUAGUCCCUGUCUCUUAUAC
rnacentral:rRNA from 1 species